rnacentral:rRNA from 1 species
UAUUAUUUUGGAUCGUUAAAUUUUGUGCCUGAGUAGUAUUAGUUAUGUUCUUGAAACUUAAAGAAUUUGGCGGUAUCUUAUUCCAUCCAGAGGAAUCUGUCUCGUUAUCGAUAGUCCGCGUUGGACCUUACUUAGUUGCUUGGGUUUGUAUACCGCCGUUUAUUGAUUAUCCUUUUAGGGUUUAUUUAAUUUUCUCGUUUCUUUAUUUUGAUUUAUUUCAGGUCAAGGUGCAGCUUGUUUCUAAGUGGAAUGAUGGAUUACAUUGUUAUUUGUUUAUUGGAUUAUUAAUUUUAAUAUUAGUAUGAAAUUGGAUUUGGUUGUAAUGUUUUGUAGAUUAUUUUCAUGAUAAUUGGUUCUGGGAUAUGUACACAUCGCCCGUCGCUCUCGUUUAUUUGUUAAUGAG